rnacentral:miRNA from 1 species
GACGUCGACUAUCGUCGUCAUAAACACCAAAGUUGAUCGUGUUUAAGACGUCGAAUAUCGACGUCAUCAACACCAAAGUUGAUCGUGUUUAUAACGUCGAAUAUGGACGUCAUAAACACCAAAGUUGAUCGUGUUAAAGACGUCGAAUAUCCACGUCAUAAACACCAAAGUUGAUCGUGUUUAUGAUGUCGAAUAUCGACGUC